rnacentral:rRNA from 1 species
GACGAACGCUGGCGGCGUGCUUAACACAUGCAAGUCGAGCGGUAAGGCCCUUUCGGGGGUACACGAGCGGCGAACGGGUGAGUAACACGUGGGUGACCUGCCCUCAGCUCUGGGAUAAGCCUGGGAAACUGGGUCUAAUACUGGAUAUGACUCCAUGACGCAUGUUGUGGGGUGGAAAGCCUUGUGCGGCUGAGGAUGGGCCCGCGGCCUAUCAGCUUGUUGGUGGGGUGANGGCCUACCAAGGCGACGACGGGUAGCCGGCCUGAGAGGGCGACCGGCCACACUGGGACUGAGACACGGCCCAGACUCCUACGGGAGGCAGCAGUGGGGAAUCUUGCGCAAUGGGCGAAAGCCUGACGCAGCGACGCCGCGUGAGGGAUGACGGCCU